GGAUCCCAUCAGAACUCCGCAGUUCAGCGUGCUUGGGCGAGAGUAUUACUAGGAUGGGU
rnacentral:rRNA from 1 species